ACAUUUUUGGGCUCCGGCUCUGCACAUGGGCUCCUCCUAGUGGGCUUUGGGAGGCUUAUCCGCUGAAGCCGUCCACCCUCCUGCUGUUUGGUAGUAGCAUCCCACGAACCAAACACGCUAUCUAUACACCACUAUAGUCGUUGACCAGUAUUACAAAUAAAGUUUUGCUCCCGUAGUCCUCUCCAUGAAAACUGUAAGAAUCUCAAAAUAAACAAUUAAUAAUUUUAAUUAAUUUCAUGUCAAACCACCUUAUUACCUCUGGUCCAUAUCCUUCCCCGUUCUGAUGAGCAUUUCACAUUUUUGUUCUCCAUCUUGUUGCAUUAGAUUCAUAUCAACUUAAAUUACGCAUUAGAAGCGAUGUUUAUCAUAUUCUCUAUUUUGUAAUUUGUUCAAGAUAUUAAUAUGAUUAAGUACUUAUAUACUUGCUUUUCUAAUUAAAAUCUAAUUAUAGUUCAACCCCGCAUUUUCAUAACUUAUGUAAAUUUGGUAACUGUUUAUUUAAAUAACUCUUCCAAUUAAAAGUUAAUUACAGAUAUACCUCAGCUUUUAUAAAUUAAUCUUAGUUCAAUUAAUGCUUAUUCAAUUUGUUUUAUAAAUAAAAGCUACAUAAGUUAUAUCUUGAGUUUUCAUAAUUAAAUGUUAAUUUCACAAAUGUAAACACAAAUGUGUUUUUGAAUUAUAUUUGGUUUGUUAAACGAGAAUCAUAAAGCUAUGCGCUUAAAUGUUUACAUAUACUUAAUUUUCAAAUUAAAUGUCUAAUUUGCAUAAAUUGUACUUCAAUGUUUAUAAAUAAAAUUUGAGUAAGUUCUACAUUGUACUUUCAUAUAUAAAUAUAAUUUGCUAAAGAAGUUUAUAAAAAAUGUGCCAAUUUGAUAACAGAAAAUCAAAUAAUUGAAACCAUGUUUAGUUGGUGAUUUCGUUCUUCUUAGCUUUGUUUAAUUUCAAUAAACCUUCUCAAGUAAGUUUUAAUUGAACUGGAGAUCGAAUCGAAGGUUAGGAAUUAAAAUGAAGCUAAUAGUGCAGUACGUACCGUGGUUGGCGAUGUGAAACAUUUUUGGUCGGUGUCUUCUAGGUGGCUUACAUUAAAAGAAAACCAGUGGCGGAUCCAGGGGUUGGGGGCCUUCUAGCCACCUAUAGGGUGCAUCCUCGUUAAAGCAGAGCUAGGGGAUGAGAAAGACGAGGGGAGAAGAAGAAGAGAAGAGAGAAGGGGUGGGGAAAAAGGAGGAAGAAGAGUUCAUCCUCGUUGAGCUGUAUCCUAGGUUCAUCCCAUAAGAAAAUUGUAUAAUGUUGAAGGAUGAAGAUAAACUUUGUACUCGAAUAUAGUUCUUAAUAAGAUUUAGACCCUGUUUGUUUGAUUUUCUGGGAGCUUUUCAACUGCUAACUUUUGGGAUGUCCAAAACCAAACACCUCUAAAAGUUGGAAGCUGAAAAGCUCAUGACAGGAAGAUUUUGCCUUAUAGGUUUUGGAGCCACUGGGCUUUUAGAGGUCCCAAUAGCCAAAGGACCAAAAGCGCCGAGAGGCUCAAACAAACAAACAGCCCCUUAUAAUAAAAAAUCUGUUACCGCACAGCACACACAUUACAUGGACAAAUGCCAGGACACACUUUUGCCUCUAUAAGCACUAUACCUUCUAUAGAAGGAAUCAGGAGAUUUUGAGAUUGAUGAAGCCAAAACCAACACCUCGCUAUGGACAAACAUGUUCUAUAGCUUAGAAUCACCGUUCUUCCCUAAAAUGAAACCUAAAAUAUGUGCGAGUGCUCAUGUCAAGCUCACAACUCAAACCAGGUGCCACGUUUCACACCUAAUCUAGGUAACUAAGCUAUGCUCUGUUUAUAGCUAUUAUUAUUACUGUUGAUUAAAGUAUACUGCCUGAUGGCCAAAUUUUUUCGAAUUUUCUAAGAAAUUUACUAUGUUUUUUCUAGCACGUCUCCUGAAGAAUGUGAGGCUAAAAAACAAGUAAUCUAACAUGAUUUUGGGUGGAAUAUUAAUUCGGUAAUAAUAAUGAAACAUGGCUAGCUGGUCACCACCAUGCUAUGGGUUAGUUUGGCAGGGCUGUACUUUUGGGUGAAAUGGUUCCAGCUGUGGAUUCUUUGGUGGAGCAGUUUUUUUUCGCACUAGCUUAUCUAGUUUGUAAGACGUUCGGUAAAAUGGCUUCUCCUGAUUGUUUAAAUGGAUAAAAUAUGAAAUGACCAUAAUACCCUUCUCUUUUUUUGUCUCUUCCUUUUAGUUUCCCUUCCCAUCUUUUUUUCUAUCUGUUUAUUUCCCAUCCUCUCUUUCUUAUCCAUCCUAUCCGACUCUUUCGCCUUCUUUUCUCCAUCACUCCACUCCCUACGCCCGUGCCGCCAUCGGUGUCUGCCCGCUAGGGCCCAUGUCGUCACCUACCGCCCCUAGUGGCCCCACCUCCUGCAGCCCCAGUCUUCUCGUUCGAGCCGUUGCCAGCUGCCCCUACCCUUGCCCCUGCGUCCUGCUGCUUGUCGUGUCGUGCCAUCUUAUGCCACCCUUGUCCUCCAGCCCCGCUACGCGACUUCCAUCUUAAAUUACGCAUUAGAAGCGAUGUUGAUCAUAUUCUCUAUUUUGUAAUUUGUUCAAGAUAUUAAUAUGAUUAAGUACUUAUAUACUUGCUUUUCUAAUUAAAAUGUAAUUAUAGUUCAACCCCGCGUUUUCAUAACUUAUGUAAAUUUGGUAAAUGUUUAUUUAAAUAACUCUUCGAAUUAAAAUUUAAUUAUAGAUAUGCCUCAGCUUUUAUAAAUUAAUCUUUGUUCAAUUAAUGCUUAUUCAAUUUGUUUUAUGAAUAAAAGCUACAUAAGUUAUAUCUUGAGUUUUCAUAAUUAAAUGUUAAUUUCACAAAUGUAAACACAAAUGUGUUUUUGAAUUAUAUUUGGUUUGUUAAACCAGAAUCAUAAAGCUAUGCACUUAAAUGUUUACAUAUACUUAAUUUUCAAAUUAAAUGUUUAAUUUGCAUAAAUAGUACUUCAAUGUUUAUCAAUAAAAUUUGAUUAAGUUCUACACCGUAUUUUCAUAUAUAAAUAUAACUUAAUAAGGAUGUUUCUCUAAAUUAUCUUUACAUUAUUUUCUUUAUUAAACUAUAUGAAGCAUGUAGGCUUUUCCCUUUCUUUUAUAAUUCAAAUCUCUCGAUAGCUUUACCUUUUCAAUCUUUGUUCGUGGUGUUCGCAUCGAGUCUUAUCCUUUAUUACGUUCUUUUAAAGCUUUCUUUUGAUUUGGUGUAUUGCUCUUAGUUGUACUUUUUUGUUUGCUUGUAUGUUUCUGCUGGUGAUUGUUUCGAGUAGAAGGAUCAUUGUUUGAAAGAUUUGAAGAUGAAGAGCUUUAAGAGAGCAAGAUCCCAACAGCGGUAAGAGUAACUUUUCUUUGGAGAAUGGCAAGUGUCCCUAACCAUCCUUCUAUCUAUGCUUAUUUUACAAGAAUACCAUGUAUUAAUUGGAACAUGGAUCCACCACCCUCGAAAACGGUGCAAUCACAAUGACUAUAUGGCUCGGGCCUUGCCUAAUUAAUUAGAGACUCUAGUUUGGGGUAAUCUUAUCAAAAGGGCAAGAGGGGAGAAGUUGAUGGGGUAUAGCCCGGCCCUCAGUCUGAUAGUUUGUAGAGAAUCUAUAUUUAUUUCUGCAUAAAUUGAGGGUUUGUUUUAAUAAAUUUUGUCCGAAACAAUUUAUCUAUCGUCGAUAGCAUCCCGUUAUAUCCGAUAUUUCCGUUUAUCACUAACCACCGAUAUUUUUUAUUUAUCGAUAAUGUACGUAAACUGUCCCAAUUACUUUUAUUCCUAUUUGGCAACAUUGUAUUUUUCACAAUUAACACUACUAAUAAGCAUCUGUUGGGAACGAUAUGUAGAAGAUGAAAGGUAGAGCUAGGGCAGCGAGUAUUUUUCAAGAAGUACUGUAGAGAGCAUGGAGGAAUUGAGCAAGUGUAAUAAUCAGUGAACAACAAAAAAUAUCUUAAUCCACCAUUAAAGCAUUAAGCCACAAUGUAGCACAAAAUCGAAGUAUUAUUCACUCAAAAUAUAAGAAUCUCAAAGCAAACAAUUAAUAAUUUUAAUUAAUUGUGUGUCAAUCCACCCGAUUACCUCUGGUCCAUAUCCUUCCCCGUUCUGAUCAGCAUUUCACAUUUUUGUUCUCCAUCUUGUUGCGUUAGAUUCAUAUCAAUUAAAUUACGCAUUAGAAGCGAUGUUGAUCAUAUUCUCUAUUUUGUAAUUUGUCCAAAAUAUUAAUAUGAUUAAGUACUUAUAUACUUGCUUUUCUAAUUAAAAUCUAAUUAGAGUUCAACCCCGCAUUUUCAUAACUUAUGUAAACUUGGUAAAUUUUUAUUUAAAUAACUCUUCCAAUUAAAAGUUAAUUAUAGAUAUACCUCGG
rnacentral:lncRNA from 1 species